CAGAAAGACCCUAUGAAGCUUUACUGUAAGUUGAAAUUGAAAUUGGACUUUAUUUGUGCAGUAUAGGUGGGAGACGUUGAUUAUAAUCUUGCGAGAUUAUUGGAGUCAUUAGUGAGAUACCACCCUUGUAAUGUUAAAUUUCUAACUUUGUAUCAUUAUCUGGUCAAAGGACAGUUUCAGGUGGGCAGUUUGACUGGGGCGGUCGCCUCCUAAAUGGUAACGGAGGCGUACAAAGGUUUCCUCUGAACGGUUAGAAAUCGUAUCUAGAGUAUAAAGGCAUAAGGAAGCUUGACUGUGAGACUUACAAGUCGAGCAGGGACGAAAGUCGGUCUUAGUGAUCUGACGGUACUGAGUGGAAAGGCCGUCACUCAACGGAUAAAAGUUACUCUAGGGAUAACAGGCUGA
rnacentral:rRNA from 1 species